GGGGAUGAAAUGGUUUCGACAGGUAUGUGAAAGGAUAUGAACUGCAGGUCAAGCCGAGCUAACUUGUGAAACUGGCUCACAACAUUAAUUGCCAAGAAAGUUCCUGCUUUCAACGGUAGCUCUUACAACGCUUUGCCCCUCGCGGUAUAGCAGCGUCUGAGCAACUAUGACCCUUAAUCCGGUCACGGGCUGAGUCCCCUUCCCUCGAGAGGGGGCGCUGCCCGACACCAAAAUCGAGGUGCGUUGCGACAACGCCGAUACCCCGCAGCCAAGACUCAUCGGCUGGUCUGGAUGAACUCCGUUGGCCGACGAAAUCCGGACAAGAAACCGAGCGCCAACUAAGCUUGUAGACGUUCAUAGCCAGCAUAUUUGGACCCGGGUUCGACUCCCGGCAUCUCCACUG
rnacentral:tmRNA from 1 species